GCGAUUUUAGUUUAAAUAGAAUGUUGGUUUGUCUAGCCGAAGGUGGUGUUUUAUCAAGUCGCU
rnacentral:tRNA from 1 species